GGGGUGUUACCGGCAAAGGUAGCCCCUUUCAGGGCCGAAGGCCCCCUCGGUAAAGCGCGUCCUUGGUAAGGACGAGACCGGGGGUUCAAAUCCCCCCUCAGGCUUUCAGCCUUCGUGGGGCUUCUCACCCCA
rnacentral:tRNA from 3 species